GAUUGCACACAGGUAGACUUUAUUUAACUAAUUAUGUGACUUCUGAAGGUAAUUGGUUGCACCAGAUCUUAUUUAGGGGCUUCAAAGCAAAGGGGGUGAAUAUAUGUGCACGCACCUAUGGAACGCCCUUUGGGUCUUUGCGUGCCAAAAAGAUACAUGUCAAAUAACACUAUUUGACGCGUCAAAUAACAAUAUGUAAACUACAUGCAAAUGUUGGCCAAUCAAUAUAUGAACAACUUCUCAUUCAUCAUCACCAACAAACCUUGAAAACAUGAGACUGCUUUUUACGUUUUGCCAGCCAAGUGCAACCACCUUUACAACCACCCCAGGAGGAUCGGGUGGUUCAAAUGUAGGAUUAAUUUUGCUAGGUUAGGUAAUACCUGGCAAAAGUCAACAUUAAUCGGCACAUCUACCUAGUAAUGUUAGCUAGCUAAUGAUUGCAACAGCUACCGUGAGGUGCGCAUCGAUUAUGCUGAGUGUCAUUAUUGUAACUUUUAUAACGUUUGCACAUGUCAGAUUUCAAUCGUUCAGGAGACAGAAUAAUGCUGGAGUCCAAAAGCGGCAAACCGGGAGAAGCAGGCUGAUAACUAUGAGGGUUUGCCUCAUCGCUGACCCUACCAUCCGGCAGCUGAACAGGAUAGGUACAUUUUCCAUAUAUCCUUGUAAUACAUGAGGAUACAGUGCAAUGCACAGUGCUUGCUUUGUAAGUAAGCUAGGUGGGAAUCUAUCUUGUGAUUAAACAGACUUAUUGAAGGUUAUUUUACUGAUGUAAAGAUCAUGGACUGUUUCCCUGUUUUAUAUUAGGAUACUUUUUAUAAUAUUUAAAUCAUGUUUCCAUACCUCAGUAUCUUUAUCCUGUCUGGCAGAUCAAAGUGCCCUAUGGUCAGGAGGAGAGCAGCUUUUUGGGGGGAAAACAUUCCCCCAGAUGAAUACAAAUUAAGACAGGAGGAGGAGGCUCGUUCCCCUACAAAAAAAGGAUUGUGUGGUUGAAUUGGUGGCUCAACAAUUUGUCCAAGGUGGUCUUGGAGCAGUUGAAAUAUGGUCUCAACUCUCUUGGGCUGCUCGAGGCAUUGGGGAACCAUCCGGACAGCUUCCGAGCACUCCAUAAAGCCUCCCACUGCCAGGGACCUGUGGGACCUGCUUAAAGUAACCUAUUCCAUACCUGGCGGCAACCGGCCAUGUUUGGAGAACGACACCAUCGGCCACAGAUGGAGAAUGUCCUCCUCUAACAGUGGCGAUGGUGUUGGAGUUUGCUACUGGGGCAACGGUGGUGACACCCCAUGGGUUUGAGGAACCCCGACCAUCGAAUUCCUCCACACAGCGCGAGGGCGUCUCGCCAGGCAGCAGAAUAAAAAGUACCUAGAGGCAAACACGUGUGCUGUGACACUAAGACUCCCUCUUCAUAGCCCCUACAAUGCCUUUAGGGAAUUCAUGACCUCCGGUAUUGUGAAUUCCCCAGAUUUUGGUGUUGCAUAAAAACAUUUUUACGAUUUACGAUUUUACAAUUGUAUCUUGUAGCACUAAACUACAGUAGCAAUUGAGUGUUUGAAAAUGUAACUGGACAUCAACAUUUAAGCAUUUAUCUACUUACAUCUGUAUUGUUUGUACAGUACAUUCGGAAUGUAUUCAGACCCCUUUACUUUUUCCACAAUUUAUUAUGCUACAGCCUUAUUCAGAAAUGGAUACAAUAAUGUUUUACCCUCAUCAAUCUACACACAAUACCCCAUAAUGACAAAGCAAAAACAGGUUGACAUUUUUGCAAAUGUAUAAAAAAAGGAAAUAUGACAUUUAUGACCCUUUACUCAGUACUUUGCUGAAGCACCAUUGUCAGCGAUUUCCCCAUAGGCUCUUCUUGGGUAUGACACUACAUGUUUUUAUUAUUUAAUAGAUUUUAGAAUAAUGCUCUAAUGUAACAGAAUGUGGAAAAAGUCAAGGGGUCUGAAUACUUUCCAAAUACACUGAAUUUCCAUAUUGGCUGUUAUUGUUCACUUUAUGAUCAUUAAAAUUAAAUUAUACAAUCCAUAUUGCUUUUCUUCGUGUUAAGGUUUAGUUUUUUUUUUUUUUUAACACUUUACUGACACUUCACUAAUAACCAAUAUGCUUUGCUGAUAUUGACUGAAGUACUGCUGCCAUAUUGCAGCCAACUCAUCCAAAUCUGAUAAUUUGUUCUUAAUGUAGGACAUCAAAUUAACUUCAGCCAUUAUCAUUUAAUUAGAACGACAUGAAAUACGGCUUCCCAUCCACUGCAUUAAUU